rnacentral:tRNA from 1 species
GCCCGGGUGGCGGAACUGGUAGACGCGCACGGUUCAGGACCGUGUGGGAAACCGUGGGAGUUCGAGUCUCCCCCCGGGCA